rnacentral:rRNA from 1 species
AUUGAACGCUGGCGGCAUGCCUUACACAUGCAAGUCGAACGGCAGCGGACCUUCGGGUGCCGGCGAGUGGCGAACGGGUGAGUAAUAUAUCGGAACGUACCUUUCAGUGGGGGAUAACGUAGCGAAAGUUACGCUAAUACCGCAUAUUCUGUGAGCAGGAAAGCAGGGGAUCGCAAGACCUUGCGCUGAUUGAGCGGCCGAUAUCAGAUUAGCUAGUUGGUGAGGUAAAGGCUCACCAAGGCGACGAUCUGUAGCGGGUCGUGAGAGGAUGAUCCGCCACACUGGAACUGAGACACGGUCCAGACUCCUACGGGAGGCAGCAGUGGGGAAGUUUUGGACAAUGGGCGCAAGCCUGAUCCAGCCAUGCCGCGUGAGUGAAGAAGGCCUCGGUUGUAAG